GUUCUUAGUGAGUCCUCAAGGGAUUUGUCAGAUUUUUCACAAAAUUUUAUGCUUCCUGUACUCUAUUCUUGGAAAUGGUUGUUCAUGUUGCUCACAAAUGUACAUGCUGCCAGAAAGUGGCACGUGAAUGAGGCAUGACUGUGAAGGGAGGUCAUGUAAGAGCCUGGCAAAGAGAUGUGAUCACAUUCUGGAUUGCAGUUCUAUACAUUCCAUUUGAAAGCUCACAAAUAACAUAUUUACGUCAACUGAAAAUGGAGUACCAAAAAAACAAGAGUUGAUUUUUUUUUCUUCUUGAAACUUGUUCUCAAAUACCUUUAUCAAAACGGAAGGCACGGCUGCGUAUUUCCCCUGAUCACAAGGCUGCGUUUAGCCAAUGUAUCCAAAGGCAUGACCUCAUUUGCCCCCACUUGAGUUAGCUCUGCUCUGUGCCCUCCCUGUGUCCUGGUUCCAGCCCAGAAGGGGUUCAUAGUGCCUCACUGUUCUGUUGUUGCUGAGGGGCUGGGCUGGGCUGCAGGUGGGGCAGAGCCACCUCCAUGGUGGCACGGGGCAGGGCACGGGCUGCACAUGGGCUGUAUGUUGGAAGAGCCUGAUUAUAAUUAUAUCCAGUACGUUUGUUUUUUUUUUCUCCAGUUUAUGGCAGUGUUUUAAAUCAAACUGGGAAUAGCGCCAGUUAGACUGAGGAGGAAGAAAAAGUUGAUAAAUUUUUUUCUAAAAAUAGUUUUAUCAGAGCAGAAAGUAAAUGUGGAAAUACUCAGAAGAAUAGAUAAGUGAUAACACUCAUAAGACAUGCAAGGGAGUGCAAAGUCUUUCUUCCCAUGUGGACAUUAUCUAAAUUAUGAAGCUUGGGACAAAUGGUGCAACAGAUCCCUGAAGUGUCAUUUCUGAGUUGUAUGAUCUUUGCUGUGACGCUGUGUUAUAGAAGCCUUCUGGAAAAUGAAAUUAAUAAAUUAAGCCCUUUUUGUUUGUAUUUCCACAUUUUGGAUAACACACUGUUUAAUUUCAGGGAGACCGGUAAAUACCUGUUCCUCUUUCCUACGUACUGUAAUCUCUAGCAGUAGAGUGUUUUUCAGCAGUUUUCUGGGAGUUCUUGAUGAAGGGCCAGAAUUUCAUAGAUACUGGCUGAGAGGUUGCAUCUACUAGCAGGGGUGGGAUAUCAGAAGUUCCAGGGUUGGGAGUGGACAAAAACUCCAAACAGGACAGUCAUCUGGGCAGAGCAUGGAGAGUGGGAGGUGAGUGUGGGAGGAAAUGAGAGAGACAUAGGUGGAGAUGUGAUGACACGAGACCUUGUGUCUUGAAAAUGGGAGCCAAGAAUGCAUUCUAGAGUGUCUCCAAUUUGACUGAUGUAGAAGGACGUUCUGCUUCAGAGCAACUUGGUUCAAGUAUGGAGUGUGGAGAGUCACUAUUUUCUGGUUUAUUCUCACAUAUGAAAAUGACCAUAAAUACAAAGUUAUUUUCUUUAACAUGCUCCCAUUGGGUAGGAGGUCCAAAACAUUUCCAUUCUUAUCAAGCUUGAAUUUUGUCAGCAGUUUGGCCUUUUAUCUAAUGGAAUGUGUCAGCCAGUGCUUGCUAAGGUGUACCAUUUGCUGUAUAGGAGUGGUAGGUGUAUUAAAGGAGUAUAAAGUUGCCCUACACCUAAAAAUAAAAGAUUCUGGCAGAAAGCAAAUGGAAAUUUGCGUCAUGUGUUUUAAUUUGAAAGAAAUUGUCUGCAAAUCAGAUCUGGACAUAAGAAAGCAUUUGUCUUAAAACUAACUGUGCUUCUGUUUGAAGGAGUAUAUCUGUAAACUGUGUCUGGACAUAACAAAAGAUUUAUUUUCAAAGUGUCAUAGACAAAACCUGAGAAUAACAGUGCAAU